UACGUAGGGGGCUAGCGUUGUCCGGAAUCAUUGGCGUAAAGAGCGCGUAGGCGGCCAGAUAAGUCCGGUGUGAAAGUCAAAGGCUCACCAUUUGAAUCCGCUGGAAACUGAUCUGGCUAGAAGUCCGGGAGGGGCGAGUGGAAUUCCUGGUGUAGCGGUGGAAAUGCGCAGAUAUCAGGAGGAACACCAGUGGCGAAAGGGCGGAACUACC
rnacentral:rRNA from 1 species